UACAGAGGGGGCAAGCGUUAUUCGGAAUUAUUGGGCGUAAAGGGCGCGUAGGCGGCUUGGCAAGUGGAAGGUGAAAUCCCUCGGCUUAACCGAGGAACUGCCCUCCAAACUGCUUGGCUUGAGACCGGGAGAGGUGAGUGGAAUUCCCAGUGUAGCGGUGAAAUGCGUAGAUAUCAGGAAGAACACCGGUGGCGAAGGCGGCUCUCUGGGCCUUACCUGACGCUGAGGAGCGAAAGCGUGGGUAGCGAACAGG
rnacentral:rRNA from 1 species